GCAACGAGGCAACGUCUGCCUAUUCAAAAGGGUUCGGAACGGUGAUACGAUACGGGCGUUGGAUACAGGUGGAUACUCGGCUUUAGACAUUCGGGAAACAGUUCGCUCGAACAACCAUCUCACAACGUCAAAUAACGCAUAUAGUCAGGAAAGUCACGUAGGACCAAUCAAGCAACAUCCAGUCAGUUAAUAAAAUAAAAUAAACCAAAAUAGAAUCAAAGCAACCAAGGCAGCAGGUAUCUAGCAGAAAGGAAAUAUAAAAGAAAAGAAAAGAAGCAAACAAGGAACAGCACACCGUCAUCAAAAAGCUAUACUAUUAUCGAAGAGAAACGGCUUGAAUAAAUUAAAUUAAAGAAUACCAGAGAAGAAUAUCAAAAUGUCAAAAUGUCCAAGGAAUGUCCAAGGAUAGAGGUGACAAGAAAUAAAAUAAAAUAAAUGAUGAACUUAUCAUGAGUCAAAAUAAAUUAAAUCUUAACAGUUACCUUGAUUCAAUUAAUUCAGAAUGAAUGAACAAUGACAGCAUGAAAUGAACGACUGAACAAUGAAAUCAAUUAAAGAUAUUAAAGAAGAAUGAAGUAAAAAAUAAUAAUAAGCAUAAAGUAUAAAGUGAAGGCCGUAACCAACCUAAUGUAGAUAAUGUAAUGUAAUGCACUGUAAUAUAAGUAAUGCAAUAUACUGUAAAACAGAAUGUAAUAAUAAACUGAAUACAAAAUACAAAA